UUAACUUUUGGCCAAUACAAAAGUAGUACAACUUUUAAAAACAAUGAACAUUUGUUAUUUAAGCUUUCUCUGAAUUUGAGUGGAAGAAGUUCAAAUUUUGAAUCAAAGUUCAGCUAAUUCAGGGCAAAUUCAAAAAUCAGCCUAAGCCGGCAUUCUACCAAACUUUGCCCAGCUCACACUCCAAAUCGGUUGAGGUUUUCACCAGUUGACUUUUGUAAGAAGUAUAGCCUAUAGUCCCAACAACAACUUUUAUAUUUUAAAAAUUUGACGUUUGAAUUUGAAAGUGGGAGAAAAUCA
rnacentral:lncRNA from 1 species